rnacentral:rRNA from 1 species
UGAGGAAUUUUCCGCAAUGGGCGAAAGCCUGACGGAGCAAUACCGCGUGAGGGAUGAAGGAUUUUGGUCUGUAAACCUCUUUUCUCAAGAAAGAAGUUCUGACGGUACUUGAGGAAUAAGCAUCGGCUAACUCCGUGCCAGCAGCCGCGGUAAUACGGGGGAUGCAAGCGUUAUCCGGAAUCAUUGGGCGUAAAGCGCCUGUAGGUUGUUUAUUAAGUCUGUUGUUAAAGACCAGGGCUUAACCCUGGGAAAGCAAUGGAAACUAGUAGACUAGAGUAUGGCAGGGGUAGAGGGAAUUUCUAGUGUAGCGGUGAAAUGCGUAGAUAUUAGAAAGAACACCGGUGGCGAAAGCGCUCUACUGGACCAUUACUGACACUCAGAGGCGAAAGCUAGGGUAGCAAAAGGGAUUAGAUACCCCUGUAGUCCUAGCCGUAAACGAUGGAUACUAGAUGUUGUGCAUAAUGUACAGURUCGUAGCUAACGCGUUAAGUAUCCCGCCUGGGGAGUACGCUCGCAAGGGUG